CCUACGUGGUGCAGCAGUGGGGAAUAUUGCGCAAUGGGCGAAAGCCUGACGCAGCGACGCCGCGUGAGGGAUGAAGGUCUUCGGAUCGUAAACCUCUGUCAGCAGGGAAGAACGGUCACUGUGCUAAUCAGCAGUGAAUUGACGGUACCUGCAAAGGAAGCACCGGCUAACUCCGUGCCAGCAGCCGCGGUAAUACGGAGGGUGCGAGCGUUAAUCGGAAUUACUGGGCGUAAAGCGCUCGUAGGCGGUAUGUCAAGUCAAGGGUGAAAUCCCCGCGCUCAACGUGGGAACUGCCGUUGAAACUGGCAAACUGGAGUGUGUGAGAGGAUAGUGGAAUUCCAGGUGUAGGAGUGAAAUCCGUAGAUAUCUGGAGGAACAUCAGUGGCGAAGGCGACUAUCUGGCACAUAACUGACGCUGAGGAGCGAAAGCGUGGGUAGCAAACAGGAUUAGAUACCCCGGUAGUC
rnacentral:rRNA from 1 species